ACAGCAGCAGCCGCGGUAAUACGAAGGGGGCUAGCGUUGUUCGGAUUUACUGGGCGUAAAGGGCGCGUAGGCGGACUGAUAAGUCAGGGGUGAAAUCCCAAGGCUCAACCUUGGAACUGCCUUUGAUACUGUUUGUCUUGAGUUCGAGAGAGGUAAGUGGAACUGCGAGUGUAGAGGUGAAAUUCGUAGAUAUUCGCAAGAACACCAGUGGCGAAGGCGGCUUACUGGCUCGAAACUGACGCUGAGGCGCGAAAGCGUGGGGAGCAAACAGGAUUAGAUACCCCGGUAGUCCCUGUCUCUUAUAC
rnacentral:rRNA from 1 species